UUCUUCCCACUACUUCCUCCCACUUCCUCAACAUGAGUGGGAUGAUUUAUCUUGCUGGUGAGAUCAGGGCAAGAGGCAAUGCUCAUGAGUGGUCUGGUUUUUUGCUUUCUCUCCUGUACAGCCAACUGUUUUGAUUGGUGGGAUUUGGGGUUCUUUCCAGGUUGUCUCCUCUAUGCAAAAUGCUGGUGGACAACAUGAUGUGCCUGCUCAGGUCCCAUAGCUUCCCAUCCUCUGCCUGGAACUGAGUGAGAUACUUUGGCUGUUGGAGGAUUGCCAGAUGUUACUGCUGUAAAAAGAUGGGGACAAAGAAGUGCUUCUGAAGUCUGAUCCACUACAUGUUACUCAAGCUCAUAAAAUUCAUGCAGCAAAUGCUUUUGGUGUUCUGCUCUGGAUCCCCCAGCACUCACCCUUGUACCAGCUGAUAGCUCCCUACUAUGACAACGCUGAACUAAAUUCAGUCUUGGGUGCUUUUUCCACUAUUAUGUUUGCUCCAGUUACUGCUGCCAUUGUUGUAAAUAAAAGAUGCAGGUUUUACACAGCAGA